CCCCGCCAGGCCCUUCCCACCUCACUCUGAGCCUCGCAGGCAGCAUUCUGAGUCUCUUUCAGAUGACCGGGAACCACCAGACCUCCUCCGAAGACCACAAGGGCUGCAGCAGCUGCCUGCAGCACAGGGCUGUCCUCGGUGUGUGAUACUACAGAAGGAAAUAGACUAUCUCAGAGAGCAACUGGCAGCCAAGCAGUCCCCGGAUGACAAG